AGUUCAGUGGCGUAAUGGUGCUGAUGUCUGUUUCACUGUGCGGAAGGCUCUGAGUUCGAACCUCAGCUGAACCG